GGAAAUUAUUAGCCACAAAGUGCUGCAAUAAAGAAUUGAUUUUCCAGGCCUGAUGAAUCCAGCAUGUUCCAGCUGAGGCUGCUUCUCCUGGGCAGCAGCGGUUCACUUUAUGGGCACUGAGAGCAGGAGGAACUGGAAAUUGGAUCCUUAAAAAAGCCCUACCUUUCACUGCUGGCUUCGUGACAAUCAUAUUGUCAUAUAUUGAUGUUAACUGUUUCCAAAGCAGACAUGAAGAUCUCCGGCUUUUUGGGAGAGCCUUUGAAGAUGAAACAACUGCAUUCCAAGUCCCAGUCUCCCUCCCUGGAGACAUGCUUUCCAAAAGGCUACAGCCACAGCACAAAGCCAGCCUUGACAUUUGCAUAAAUCCAUCAGCGUCACCACGACAGCGCUGACUCCUAGGUCGCCAUCCGCCGUUAAAUUUAGAAAAGAAAACUAGGCAGGGAUGGUGAAAAAACACAGCAAACGUUGUAAAGCUUUUGCAUUGCUAUGCUGCAGUCAGAUGAUUACAUUGACAGGUCUCAGAUGAGCGCUUUUCAGGCACAAGCUAUACAAAAAACAGCCAUGGCUUUUGUUAUUGCCUGGAGUUUUACAACAUGACAUGUAAGUGUGCGUGAGAUUGUUUAUGUGUGUGAGAGAGUGCUGCUUGACGGAGGAGGGAGUGCAUAUGAAUUCGUCUGUCCGAGAUUCACGAGUAAAUGCUGUGGACAAGGCCAUUGGCCUCACCUGGCAGUCGAUUGUCUUAAUUUCACCGGUGUCACUUUCAAUUUAGCCAGCGACUGAGAUGAGAGAUAACUAUGCAGGCUGCACCCACACCACUCCACCUCCUGCUCUCUGGAGCUACAAGUGUGCAGGCUGCAACAGCAGUGGCUUACAGACAGGAAGUAGACAACUGUGUGAGAAGAGCUCAUCAUCAGACUGAAUUGUUAUUGUAGCUGGAUCUGUAAUGAUCCGCCCUUUUUGACACAAUUGCGUGUUUUUUUUUUUUCCAUUGAGGUGCUGUGAAAUCAGAAUUAUAUUGUAAUAAAUCAAAUAGAUUGCUUGUUACCUAUGUCUCAGGCU
rnacentral:lncRNA from 1 species